AUUUGAAUCUUUGGAUUGAAUGAGAGGAUUUAUCCAACCCAUAAUUUAACUCAUGCAAAGGAAAAAUGUGUAUAGGACAUAAGGGCUUAGGGGAGAGACUCUCUUUUAUCUGCAGCCAAUUCCACCAACACCACUAGCUCCUAUUGUUGAGAACAUUAGGAUGCCAGGGGAGCUACAGGAAAAACAAAGUCUAGGCCAGUUUUCAUUAGUCAAAUGAUUCAUUAGAUCCUAGAUUCCAAUGAUGAGAAGUAACCAUGGCACUCGCGUUCAGUUUACAGUUGAUACAGACAGCAUGCCAGGUAAAGUGAGAUACUUGCAUGGCUGGAUCUUGGCAGAAUUAGUUAUGCCAGUCAGAGAAAGGGAGGACUUUCCAGAUGUACUAAUAUUAUCUCCAUGACAGAUACAUCUAGCUUUAAUUCUCCCUCUUCUCCUACCCCUCCUUUUCUUCCCCUUACCCUCUUCUCUCUCCUUUGCAUAGAUUUCAGGAUCUCUGGUUAAGCAAAGUAAAACUACAACUGAUUUGAACAGUUCGUUUCUCCUUCAACUAUGCAGGGAAGAUUUAUGCAGAAACCUAUACACUAUCAUUUUAAUUCAAAUACUAGAAAAACAACAUUUAUAAAAAGAAAAUUCAUCUCACAUGAAAAAUUAGAAAUUUAAAUAUAAGGCAUUACAAUAAGUGUCUUUAUUUGUAAUCUCAGUGAGAUUUAAAGAAAUGUUGCCUACUUCUGGAACAGGCAGCAGAGAAAAAGAAACAUUCUGAUGAGGUAAAAUUUUAAGAAAGUUGAAAAAUAUGAUGACCACAUUUUAAAGUAUAAUGGGGACACUGGAAGAGUAAAUUGCAUAAAAUAACACAAUAAAGUAAAAGAGAUUUUAGAAAUUUUCCCAGAAAUCAGAUAAACACGAAGUAUAAAAAGAAAAGUGAUUCCAGAGGAACAGAUACAUCAAUUUAUGCACAGCAAAAAUGCCAGAAGUGGAAAUCAGAUGGAGCCAAGAGAAUAAUAAAGGAGAACAAAAGAAAAGCAUCACAUCCCCGGACAUCAUUCUGCCCAUCAAGUCCUAGAUCCUGGGUUUAAAUACCAUUCUCCAUUUGAACUGGGCUCUUUGAGAAAUGGUUAUACCCAGGGUUGAGCCAUGGACAAGUACAAGAUGAGCCUCAAAUGACUUACAGAAAAGCCAAGGAGUUGUUCAAGGAAGGAUUGUAGCAUGUCAAAGCAUGAGGAACCAAAUUGAAAGGGCCCCCACCAACGAAAUUAAGGAAAUUCGAGGAGCAAAAUAUUGAUAGGAAGAGAUCAAUUACCUAUUGAAUAAAAUAGGACACCAUACGUCCAUACAGAUAUACUUAGAAAUAAAUGCAUAAAUUAAAAGCUUGAUGAAGACAAAGAUA